UACGAAGGGGGCUAGCGUUGCUCGGAAUGACUGGGCGUAAAGGGCGCGUAGGCGGCGUUUUUAAGUCGGGGGUGAAAGCCUGUGGCUCAACCACAGAAUGGCCUCGAUACUGGGACGCUUGAGUAUGGUAGAGGUUGGUGGAACUGCGAGUGUAGAGGUGAAAUUCGUAGAUAUUCGCAAGAACACCGGUGGCGAAGGCGGCCAACUGGACCAUCACUGACGCUGAGGCGCGAAAAGCGUGGGGGAGCAAACAGG
rnacentral:rRNA from 1 species